rnacentral:lncRNA from 1 species
CAAAAUUAAUGUUUUUUUUCUCAGAUCACUGUACAGGAAUUUGACAUUGAACCAGCUAGCCUGUUUUGAUAUACUCUACCUGUAAAAUUCUUUAUGCCUUUAUUAAACAGGAAAAGUUAAGAAAUAAAACAAGCCAAGAUAUGAUUUAGAAGAAAAAUAGCUUGGGUUCAUCUUAGAUAAUGAACUGUUCAUCCAAGCACAGAAAAUUCUGGUGAGGAGGGAACGCUGUGUAAGCAGCAGUGCUAUACUAUCCCCCCAAAAAAGUUCCAAAGUAGGUUCAAAAUUGCAAUUUGCCUCUUUUUAAGGUUAUUAUUCUCCCAGUUAACGACCACAUACAGCAUUUUACAUAGAAGUAAAUAACUUUAGAUGGUUUAGGUGGAAAUUGGACCAUUCACCAGAGGUUAUCGCAGAAUAGGAGGCACUUCCAAAGUCCAUUGGGACCUCCACAAAAAUCUGUGGCCAUUUCAGUAACUUGCUUUGUUACCAAAUCCGUUCAUUUAUUAAACUAGCUACCCAGCUCAACCAUUGCUCCAUUUCUGGCAAAAAUUAAGAGCAAAACAGAUGUAUAGUACCUGUGACCUAAAAAAAAAAUAAUAUCUACAAACACCAGGAUAUGUGAAAGUGUUUGCUGAGGACCAAAGCUUUUGUGUCAGAAAGGAGUUCAAGAAAACAAGGGUACACGUAGUACUCUUGCUUUCUCCUAGGUCCUCUGCUGCAAAUUUGAAAUUACAGUGUUGAAGGUGACUGUGGAGCUUGUGUAAUGCCUGCUGAAGAUCUCUGAUCUGAUGUAAAUGGUCUUUAUCAAAAUCUGAUCCUCAUGCACUGCGUCGGCCCCAUUUUCAUUGUUGGGAGUAUGUGAACUGUGUGCACUGUUGAAGAAUAAGAACCAGUUCACACAAAUGGCUCUCCCUUAGUUACACAUCAGGAGUCGUGUAUCUUCUCCAUUUUCUUACAUAACCUCAAAUGGGACAAUAAAGUUCAAAUUUUUAUGAAUGUAUUUUGAACU